rnacentral:rRNA from 1 species
AAUUGCACAAUGGGGGAAACCCUGAUGCAACGACGCCUCGUGCAGGAAGAAUUAUCUCGGUAUGUACACUUCUAUCAGCAGGGAAGAAAAUGACGGUACCUGACUAAGAAGCCACGGCUAACUACGUGCCAGCAGCCGCGGUAAUACGUAGGGGGCAAGCGUUAUCCGGAUUUAAUGGGUGUAAAGGGAGCGUAGACGGAAGAGCAAGUCUGAUGUGAAAGGCUGGGGCUUAACCCCAGGACUGCAUUGGAAACUGUUGUUCUAGAGUGCCGGAGAGGUAAGCGGAAUUCCUAGUGUAGCGGUGAAAUGCGUAGAUAUUAGGAGGAACACCAGUGGCGAAGGCGGCUUACUGGACGGUAACUGACGUUGAGGCUCGAAAGCGUGGGGAGCAAACA